UUGAAUUUGAAUGGUAACAAUUCCGUUAAAUCCUCGUCCUCGUUUUGAUAGUCUCACUCAUGGCCGAUCAGUGUGUUCUUUCUGAUUAGCUCUUAAUUGAGAUCACCUGUCACGCACCCCUUUAUUAAAGGUGAACACAAUGGGUUUAGUUUACUUUUCGCAUCGGCCUGUGUCAAUCGAGGUUGAGUUUGGUGAGGGUUGAAAGUUUUAGAUCUAGAUUGCAGAUCACUAUUGUCGCUUUAUACAAACUGAAAGUAUGCCUUGUUGCGUGUUUGUUUUUGUGGGCAUUUGACUGAACAGCCCAGACAAAUAUUGCUACCAACAUGGCACUUCGGAACAGACCACCGCAGUGAGUAAAAGUUAUUUUCCUUUAUUAAAUGUUGACGUUUUUGGGCUGUCUCCUCAGACACAAGCCAUGAGUAUCCCUGCUCUUUGCACCUUGACAUGCAUGUCACUGCUGUUUGUUAACCUAGCUUUGCUGAUUUGUAUCUUGUGAUGUGUGUGUGUGUGUUUUUCUUAACAGGUGUUAGAUGACUGACAAGAUCUAUGGGGGGGCCCCCUUUGGGCCCCCCCAUACCAACUUAGUCUUCAAAGGAAUCUAGUGCCAUGGGACUCCAGUGUCUUCAAAACAUCCUCGGAAUACAUGUGGGGACUUGACUGGUGAGUCUACUGGAUUAAUCAGUAGCGGUGCUUAGCCCAACAGAUUUGAUGGCAUGACUACAGGGUGACAAAGACAAUUAUUCCCUGCCGAUCAAAAGAGACUUCUAAAACAUAUCUGCUAGAACAGUUCCUAUACUUUUUGUAUAAUUUGGUCAUGCUGCAAAUUAACUUUUUGUAGUUGCUCCAUAUUUGGUUCUUUGACAGCCUCACCUGCUAGAAAAGUCUAUUCAAAUCGGCUAAAUAUAAUGAACUAAUUUAAUAACCAUGUCACUCAUACUAGUGGCAAAUACCCUCUUUCAGUUGGUGGUUCAACACUGAUGUCUCUCUAGGCUUGAGGGAGAGCUCACAAGUCAAUUACACGAAUGUCCUGGAGCAAUUGGGAAUACACUUUUAUUUAGUCUACCUGACCAGGGACAUCUUUGAACUAUAGGUCACCUAACCCAAACUUUUCACUCUUAGAAUCUAGCUCCAUUGCCGUUAGAAAUGGUGUCUCCCAGUACUGCAAAGUGCUUCCACAAGUUUAAAAAAGAAUGGGCAGAAAAGGAACUGCCAACUAAAUCUAUUUAACAUGGGUAGAAAGUUUCCAUGGACGCUCUUGGCUGCUGGUUCCCAAC
ensembl:lncRNA